GGAGGGUGCAAGCGUUAUCCGGAUUCACUGGGUUUAAAGGGUGCGUAGGUGGGUUGAUAAGUCAGUGGUGAAAUCUCCAGGCUUAACUUGGAAACUGCCAUUGAUACUAUCAGUCUUGAAUACUGUGGAGAUGAGCGGAAUAUGUCAUGUAGCGGUGAAAUGCUUAGAUAUGACAUAGAACACCUAUUGCGAAGGCAGCUCGUUACACAAAUAUUGACACUGAGGCACGAAAGCGUGGGGAUCAAACAGGAUUAGAUACCCUGGUAGUCCACGCCCUAAACGAUGGAUACUCGACAUUUGCGAUAAACUGCAAGUGUCUGAGCGAAAGCAUUAAGUAUCCCACCUGGGAAGUACGACCGCAAGGUUGAA
rnacentral:rRNA from 1 species